rnacentral:sRNA from 1 species
AAGCUCGACCCUCCCCCUCUCAGCCCUGCUCCCGCUGCAUUCUGGGUUCUUCUGACUGUCCUAGAUGAAUGCUGUCAGUGGUUUGCAGUUUUUGGUGACCCAACAAUCUUGGCCCCACCAGUCCUCCUCUUUGUCACCAGCAGAGGGGUUCAUUGUUUUGGAGAUCAGGUCUUCUGUACCCCAGACUGGCCUUCAGCUCCUUGCGCAGUUGAGAAUGGCUUUGGGUUCCUGGUUCUCUGGCCUCCAACUCCUGAGGGCUGGAACUGCAGGCAGCUCUGGUGGCUUAAAAUGACAUCGAACUGGAUAGACACUUGGGGAUGAGCGUGAACAACUGACCUCCUGCCUCCACCUCUCAAAUGCUGGAACUACAGGGAUGUAAUACCAUGUACGGCUGCCAUGUUUACCUUAGAGAGCCUGAGUGGCGAAGGCUCUGUUCUCCAUUAUAGUAUAAAGUCAUCAUUUUCUUUAAGGCUUUAUUAUGUUGAUGCAUAUAUGUGAAAGAUGGAUAGCCGGAUGAU